GAUGAACGCUGGCGGCGUGCCUAAUACAUGCAAGUCGAGCGAACAGAUGAGGAGCUUGCUCCUCUGACGUUAGCGGCGGACGGGUGAGUAACACGUGGAUAACCUACCUAUAAGACUGGGAUAACUACGGGAAACCGGAGCUAAUACCGGAUAAUAUAUUGAACCGCAUGGUUCAAUAGUGAAAGACGGUUUUGCUGUCACUUAUAGAUGGAUCCGCGCCGCAUUAGCUAGUUGGUAAGGUAACGGCUUACCAAGGCAACGAUGCGUAGCCGACCUGGGAGGGUGAUCGGCCACACUGGAACUGAGACACGGUCCAGACUCCUACGGGAGGCAGCAGUAGGGAAUCUUCCGCAAUGGGCGAAAGCCUGACGGAGCAACGCCGCGUGAGUGAUGAAGGUCUUCGGAUCGUAAAACUCUGUUAUUAGGGAAGAACAAAUGUGUAAGUAACUAUGCACGUCUUGACGGUACCUAAUCAGAAAGCCACGGCUAACUACGUG
rnacentral:rRNA from 1 species